UCCAAAUAAAGAACGCGCGAGCACGUAGGAAACAGAACCCAUGGAAAAAAUCUGCUGCCAAAUCCUAACAGGAUUUUUUGCUGCCAAAUCACAGCAGCAGCAGCACGGGCACCGUCGGGAAGCGAGGCUGAAACCCGCAGCACAGCCAUACCUCACACGGGGUCAUUCCCUUUGCCUGACCCUUUCCAGCAAGAAUGGACAGAGCUGCUUCAGUGAGCAUUCCUUUCCAUCGUAAGGGCAAAAAAAUGUACAAGGGAGGAUGCAAUAAGGAGCUGCCCAUAUCCUCUGAGAGACAAAAAUGUGAGGGCUUGAGGAAAAGGCUCCUGAAGAAUGACAGAUGGAGGCAGUCAGAAGCAUGGAGAUGCAGUUCCUCAAAUGUUUCAAGGCAUAUGCACCUCCUGGAGAGCAUGGGCCAAGAUUGCUUUGUGACCUUUUCGUAUUUUGCAGCCUCUCUUCUUUUAAAUCCAUUUUGUUGGAAGUGAGUUUUGCUAAAAACAACAAAGCACAAAUGCCUUUCUCAGCAUGUCACAAUUUUUUGACCAACCCACAUAGACAAACUGGAGACCUUGAGAACAUACGCUUCCGUUCUGUAUAAACAGUUUAAAAUAGAUUUUAGCUUUGCUCAGCAUUACGUACAGUUACUAUUUUAAAAUGCACUCCAAUUAAUCAUUCCCUUUUUUGCCUCUGCCCUCCAUUCAUGCUUUUGGAUCUCGUAUAUGUUCAAGUCCUUGUCUUAUCAUGAAAACAAAUACAUCUGUACAUUUUAAAUUAAUUCAGAAUAACAAGGUUUCCCUCCUCUCCAUCAAUAAAAAUACAUAAAGAAAAUCCACACACUGUGUCAUGUGCAUGUUAAAAUCUGAAGCAAUUGUGAUUAAAACUUCUCACAAACAUGCAAACAUUGGUGACAACUGGCCUCUAGCUUCAAGAAGAGAAAUGCAUCCCUCAGCCUGUGCUUCUGAAUGGCUGCACAUCUCAGAGAUGCCUCUGUGCUGAGGUGGCUCAAAGUGUUCACUAUCUCUGCUUCCUUCUUCAGCCCAUCUGCAAUGCUCCAGCCUCGUACUGGAAAUAUUUUGGUAGCUGCUUAUUGUUCCUUGAGGAAGGGGCAAUUACUUCUCAUCCAGAGCCAGCCUCUCCAUCUGUUUUUCAGUUAUCCAUGUGCAGAUUUCAUUGCCAUUCUAGAACUGCUAAGGGCAGGAUGGGAAGCUCUUCGUGUUUUCCAAACAGCACGUAAAAUCCUGUGGGAUAAGGAAGCAAAAGGCCAAAGGUGCGUGUCAGAAUUACACAUGAGAGAAUAAGCACAGAGAGUACACAGGAAAGAGCUCUGCAGCUGUAAGAUAUUCUUCAUGGAAGGGAAGCAGCCUUGGAUAUUCAGAAGUGCCACACACACUGCUGGUUUUCCCAGGUUAGCAGUGCUGGCUCAGUCCCAGCAGUCUGCCGCUCCAGGAAGAGAUCAGUGAGAAACAUCUGCUGGAUCUCAACUUUCUCCUUUUCAGAUGUCCCAUUACACUCACUCUGGAAUCACUGCAUGACUUAAAGGCAGGAAUCCAAAGAGUCUGCUGCAAAGUGAGCUGUGGGGAUUGCUCUGAUUGCCAGUGUUUCCUGCCAGUUGCUGACAGAGCUAGGAACAGAGUAAGGUCUAGCUAACAAACACUGGUGGAUAAACAGGACCUGGCAAGAGAAAUCAGGGGAAUGGUUUGGUUUGCACCAGGCCACUGGAUCCCAUUUCUUUGUGCAAAACGUCGCACACUGCUGCACUGGAGGAAUGUGCCAUGGGAUGUGGAGCAGAACAGAAAACACAUUCCUGGAAGGAGCCAGCAAUUCCAAAAGAUGGCAACUAUGUAGAGGUAAAAGGCUUUACUUAUGGAGCAGCAAGACAGAAUGUCUGUGCUAAUUGACAGAACUUCUGCAGCUCACUUACUGUGGAUAUACAAAGUUGUGUCUCAGUGGAUGCUUGUAAGUGCACUCUUGGGACAGACUACCAUGGGAUGGAGGAAUGGAAAACCUUUUUCCUGCUAUAUGGCUGGUGUCUCAGCAGCACAGGCAGAGGGCUGGCUGCUCUUUCACUCUGUCCUUUAGCCUGGCUUUUCCUUGGAAACUGUGGGAGAAAACCAAGGAGGAGGAAUUAAUGCUUCCGUGAAAACACUCAGUGCACAUCUCUACUCAGGCAGAAUGGCACUUAAAGAAGAGUCCCAAGAGCUGAUUGUGAGGUAACAUUAAGUACAGACUUUGCACAUUAGUAUUUCCCAGGCUAGAAAAAUGUAAAGCUCUCAUUUCUAUUACCUGGUUAAAAAAGAAAAUAAAAAGGACUAAUUUUAA